UCUUCCGAUCUCAAUGGCAAGGAGGUCACACCUGUUCCCAUGCCGAACACAGAAGUUAAGCUCCUUAGCGCCGAUGGUAGUCGGACUGACGUUCCGCUAGAGUAGGACGUUGCCAGGC
rnacentral:rRNA from 1 species